UACGGGGGGGGCAAGCGUUGUUCGGAAUUACUGGGCGUAAAGGGCUCGUAGGUGGCCAACUAAGUCAACCGUGAAAUCCCUCGGCUUAACCGGGGAACUGCGUUUGAUACUGGAUGGCUUGAGUUUGGGAGAGGGAUGCGGAAUUCCAGGUGUAGCGGUGAAAUGCGUAGAUAUCUGGAGGAACACCGGUGGCGAAGGCGGCAUCCUGGACCAAUACUGACGCUGAGGAACGAAAGCUAGGGGAGCAAACAGG
rnacentral:rRNA from 1 species